UACGUAGGGUGCAAGCGUUAAUCGGAAUUACUGGGCGUAAAGCGUGCGCAGGCGGUUGGGCAAGACAGAUGUGGAAUCCCCGGGCUCAACCUGGGAAUUGCAUUUGUGACUGCACGGCUAGAGUGUGUCAGAGGGGGGUAGAAUUCCACGUGUAGCAGUGAAAUGCGUAGAGAUGUGGAGGAAUACCGAUGGCGAAGGCAGCCCCCUGGGAUAACACUGACGCUCAUGCACGAAAGCGUGGGGAGCAAACAGG
rnacentral:rRNA from 1 species